ACGAACGCUGGCGGCGUGCUUAACACCUGCCAGUCGAACGGAAAGGCCCUGCUUUUGUGGGGUGCUCGAGUGGCGAACGGGUGAGUAACACGUGAGUAACCUGCCCUUGACUUUGGGAUAACUUCAGGAAACUGGGGCUAAUACCGGAUAGGAGCUCCUGCUGCAUGGUGGGGGUUGGAAAGUUUCGGCGGUUGGGGAUGGACUCGCGGCUUAUCAGCUUGUUGGUGGGGUAGUGGCUUACCAAGGCUUUGACGGGUAGCCGGCCUGAGAGGGUGACCGGCCACAUUGGGACUGAGAUACGGCCCAGACUCCUACGGGAGGCAGCGGUGGGGAAUAUUGCACAAUGGGCGGAAGCCUGAUGCAGCAACGCCGCGUGCGGGAUGACGGCCUUCGGGUUGUAAACCGCUUUCGCCUGUGACGAAGCGUGAGUGACGGUAAUGGGUAAAGAAGCACCGGCUAACUACGUG
rnacentral:rRNA from 1 species